AUGGAGAAAUGCACACCUGACGAUGAGUACGUGUUUUGUGUCAUCUGGCAGACUAUGGCUGAGUUGCUGACCUUCACGACGUGGCUGACAUCACGGGGCCUAAGAUUGGAAACGGCACAAGUCAUGAUUAAGGAGCUGGGCAUCGAGAGCCAAGAGUUGCUUCGAACCUGCACAGAGUCUGACAUGUUGAGAGCCGAGCUGUUAUCGAUCGCCAAACACAAGUUUGCUUUUGCAAUGUACGCCGAGCUGCAUAACUUCAUUUAUUCAUACUCGGAACUGCGAGCCAUCCAACCUACGGGCUCUGCCCUAGUGGGUGUUUUGUGCUCGAUGCUGAAUACCGUGAGUCAAGAGCUGUCUCACUGUGCCCAGAAGCUCAGCUUGUUGACGUCAACGGGUAACGAUGGACAGUUUCAGAAUGAUGGAGGGGUCAUCGGAAUCAGGAUAAGUGACGUAUGCAGCCUUCAUCCGGAGGAGGAUGGAGCAAGCUCCCAAUCUGAUAUUCCAGAAGAGGAAGGCAACAUUCCUCAAACCUCACAAGAUUCUUUCAUUGCUUUCAUGGAUGAUUCACCAAAGAAAUCCAGCGAUAUUCAACCUCCAGAACCAAGGGAAGAAGUUCCAGUGGAGGUGGGAAGCUUUCAAGGUUACACUCAUCUGUCUUCACAAGAAUCUCUUAUUACCUCCGUCACCAAAGAUCUUAUUAUCGGAAUUAAGGAAGAAUCAAACAUUGUGGAUGUGUCAUCCUUCCAAGGUAAGGGUUUUAACAAUAAUACCAUUUUAUCAAGUGUUGGAAGUAUUUCUCGACAUGGAUGUUGGUUAACACCUUCUGAUUUUGGUGUCUGAAACAAAUGAGGCCCAGAUGGUGACAAAUCACUCGUGUGGGUCCAGUACCAAAGGACUGGUUUCAUAAUGCCUUGUUUUUUUUUUUUUAAUUCAAGAGAUGAAGUCCUCAUGAAGCCAUAAAAGUUUUGUUCCUUUAAACUUUAAAAUAAUUUUGUUUGACUUUCUGUGUUAGGGAUAUAAAUGAAAUGUAUGUUGCAUGAGAAUAUUUCCAUUGGACUCUCAUUCCCCUCAUUAUAUUUUGGCUUGCUUUUCCAAAGAUCAUUCACGUCAUCAUUUUUGACUAAAUGUACAAAAAAGUUUACUUAGUUCACUGAUAAUGUUGACACUGCAUGUUGUGUUUUUAAUCUUAGCCAUCAGACAUCCAUUUUGUAUCCAGAACCGGGCGUAGUGGCGUGCGCCUGUAAUCCGGCGACUCGGAGGGUUGGGUUGGAGGAUCGCUUGAGGACGGGAG
rnacentral:lncRNA from 1 species